AUACUGUUUCUUGUAAUCAGUAACCAGGAUUCAGCCUUGUGUAUAAUAAAUAACAAGGAGAACCUUUGUCACUAAAUGCAAAUAAAAGCUAUUC
rnacentral:pre_miRNA from 1 species